rnacentral:lncRNA from 1 species
CCUCCCUCACUCUCUCCGUGCUCCCCGCAGGUUGUGCCGGCAGUCCCCGCCGUGCCGCCGGCGCCGCGCGGUUCUGCGUUGGCGCCGCGGGAUGGAGCGCAGCGGGGCCGGCGGCCGAGCGCUCCCGAUGCCCCCCGAGCCCGGCGCCGAGCCGGGGCUGCUCCUGCCCAGCCCCAAAGGCGGCGCCGCCGAGGAGCGGCCGGCGCCCGCGGGGCCCCAGCGCGGCGAGGAACCCUCGGAGCUCUUCUCCUCCUCAUCCUCAUCCUCCUCAUCCUCCUCAUCCCCAUCCUCCUCCUCGCUGGCCCGGCAUGAGCCCGACGUGGCCCUGGAAGCGCACGAUGAGGCCGGUGAGUGCCGCGGUUCGGGUCUGGGGGGCUCGGUGCUCUUGGGGGUGGUGGUGUUGGGGUGGUGGUGGUUGUGUUGGUGCUCUUAGUGAUGGUGGUUGUGUUGGUGCUCUUGGUGAUGGUGGUUGUGUUGGUGGUGUUGGUUGUGUU